GACUGUGUGGGUGGCUGCAUGUGCGUGUGUGUAUCUUAUGUGUAUGUGUAUGCAAGCAUACGAUGU
rnacentral:miRNA from 10 species